AGCUUUGCGCAGUGGCAGUAUCGUAGCCAAUGAGGUUUAUCCGAGGCGCGAUUAUUGCUAAUUGAAAUCUAAAAAUAGUUUAUGUUUAUAAUAGUUUAUAAUAAACUAAAGUCAAAUUCCAAGCCAAACAGAUUUA